CCUACGGGUGGCUGCAGUAGGGAAUCUUCCACAAUGGGCGCAAGCCUGAUGGAGCAACGCAGCGUGGGUGAAGAAUGCCCUACGAUCGUUAAACCCUGUUGUUAAAGAAGAAAGUGCGUGAGAGUAACUGUUCACGUUUCGACGGUAUCUAACCAGAAAGCCACGGCUAACUCCGUGCCCGCCGCCGCGGUAGUACGUAGGUGGCAAGCGUUAUCCGGUUUGAUUGGGCGUAAAGGGAACGGAGGUGGUCUUUUAAGUCUGAUGUGAAAGCUUGCGGCUUAACCGGAGAAUUGCAUUGGAAACUGGUAGACUUGAGUGCAGUAGAGGUGAGUGGAACUCGAGGUGUAGCGGUGAAAUGCUUAGAUAUAUGGAAGAACACCAGUUGCGAAGGCGGCUCUCUAGUCUGUAACUGACAUUGAGGUUCGAAAGUGUGGGUAUCAAACAGGAUUAGAUACCCGUGUAGUC
rnacentral:rRNA from 1 species